AAUGCAUAGGAAUCUGCCUAGUAGUAUGGGAUAGCCACUAGAAAUGGUGGGUAAUACUGUAUAAUCCCUGCGGGGGAAAGAUUUAUCGCUACUGGAUGAGCCUAUGUUAGAUUAGCUAGUUGGUGGGGUAAUGGCCUACCAAGGCUGUGAUCUAUAGCUGGUCUGAGAGGAUGAUCAGCCACACUGGAACUGAGACACGGUCCAGACUCCUACGGGAGGCAGCAGUGGGGAAUAUUGGACAAUGGGCGCAAGCCUGAUCCAGCUAUGCCGCGUGAGUGAGGAAGGCCUUAGGGUUGUAAAACUCUUUCAGCAGGGAAGAUAAUGACGGUACCUGCAGAAGAAGUCCCGGCAAACUCCGUGCCAGCAGCCGCGGUAAUACGGAGGGGGCAAGCGUUGUUCGGAAUUAUUGGGCGUAAAGGGCAUGUAGGCGGUUUGGUAAGUUAAAGGUGAA
rnacentral:rRNA from 1 species